AGCGAAGUUAACACCAUGUAGGGGAGCAGGUGCCUUAAAGUCUGGCUUCGCCCCCAAAAGUGAGACAAAGUAAACGAAUACCUUUCAAUGUGGCAUUCAGCUCUGGAUUCCCACCACAGACCUGGACAGGAUUUUGAGCAAUUGUACUACUACUGAACCCAAGGAGGCUGUUGACCCUGCUUCCCCCCUAUGCCCAUCCCAAAAAACGAUCAGCAAGAGUCAUCAGAGGAGGAACACAAGGAGGUCAGUGAAAGAACUGUCCAGGGAAAGCCAGGAUCACUUUGAGACUCAGGACCCUGAUGGCGGCUGUGUAGAAGUGAGUCCAGUUCCUAGUCAGAAGCCAGGCUAGGCCUGAGGAGGCAGAUCCUAUGGAAGGAACCUGAACAUUCCCCCAGCCAUGGCACCUGCAGCAGCCAGACCCUCAAGGACAGGGCCUCUAUCAAAGGCUAAGCAGCUGGUUAACCUGAGGGGGAAGAAACAGAAAACUCAGGAUAACAUGUUUGCAGACCUCAUUGGAGCCUCCCAUACAACUCCAAAGACAAUGGCGAGGUGGAGGUUGGAGAGGGAAAAAGAAAUGGAGCUCUCCAGAGGCAGCACUACAAUUGCAAAGACAUUGUGGAGAAAGACAGGAUAUGCAGAGGCAAUAUAGAAGCAGAAUGCUCUGCAGCCGAGCAUGCUGCUACUGGGCCCACAGAUAAUCCUGUGCCCUAAACCAGGACCGAGCCAUGUUCUGCAGCCCCUGACAGUACAGGGAACUGGGAACACCAGCAUCUGCUCCCUGCUGUAACCCUGCAGCUGUGCUCCCAGAGGCCAUUCUCUUCUCAGGCUGAAGCUGAGGGCAGCGAGUACAAUUGCACCUGGAAGCCCAGUUUUUUUGAGCCAUCCAAUGCCCCUGAUAAGUUUGAGUCCCACCACUCAACACCAGAAGGCCCAAGAACAAGAAGAGGCAGAAGCAAGCUAUAUGCUUGUCUGUGACUUGGAGUCG